CGAACGCUGGCGGCAGGCCUAACACAUGCAAGUCGAGCGAGAUCUUCGGAUCUAGCGGCGGACGGGUGAGUAACGCGUGGGAAUAUGCCCUUCUCUACGGAAUAGCCUCGGGAAACUGGGAGUAAUACCGUAUACGCCCUACGGGGAAAGAUUAUCGGAGAAGGAUUAGCCCGCGUUGGAUUAGGUAGUUGGUGGGGUAAUGGCCUACCAAGCCUACGAUCCAUAGCUGGUUUGAGAGGAUGAUCAGCCACACUGGGACUGAGACACGGCCCAGACUCCUACGGGAGGCAGCAGUGGGGAAUCUUAGACAAUGGGGGAAACCCUGAUCUAGCCAUGCCGCGUGAGUGAUGAAGGCCUUAGGGUUGUAAAGCUCUUUCAGCUGGGAAGAUAAUGACGGUACCAGCAGAAGAAGCCCCGGCUAACUCCGCGCCAGCAGCCGCGGUAAUCUGAUGGCGCGAGG
rnacentral:rRNA from 1 species